rnacentral:rRNA from 1 species
GACGAACGCUGGCGGCGUGCCUAAUACAUGCAAGUCGAGCGGGCCUCCGGAGGUGCUUGCACCUCCGGAAGGCCAGCGGCGGACGGGUGAGUAACACGUGGGCAACCUGCCUUUGAGGCCGGGAUAACACCGGGAAACCGGUGCUAAUACCGGAUACGUCCUCUUUCGCGCCUGCGAGAGGGGAGAAAGACGGUCUUUAAGGCCGUCGCUCAAAGAGGGGCCCGCGGCGCAUUAGCUGGUUGGUGGGGUAAGGGCCUACCAAGGCGACGAUGGGUGGCCGACCUGAGAGGGUGAUCGGCCACACUGGGACUGAGACACGGCCCAGACUCCUGCGGGAGGCAGCAGUAGGGAAUCAUCCGCAAUGGGCGAAAGCCUGACGGUGCAACGCCGCGUGAGUGAGGAAGGUUUUCGGAUCGUAAAGCUCUGUUGUGAGGGAAGAACAGCUUCCGGAGGAAAUGCCGGAGGUUUGCCGGUACCUCACCAGAAAGCCCCGGCUAACUACGUGCCAGCCGCCGCCGUAA